rnacentral:rRNA from 1 species
ACGGGCGGUGUGUGCAAGGAGCAGGGACGUAUUCACCGCGCGGUAAUGACACGCAGUUACUAGGGAUUCCAUAUUCGUGAGGGCGAGUUACAGCCCUCAGUCAUAACUGAGGUAGCAUUUGAGGAUUACCUCAUCCUUUCGGAUUCGGGACCCAUUGUUGCUACCAUUGCAGCCCGCGUGUGGCCCUAGAGUUUCGGGGCAUACUGACCUGCCGUGGCCCCUUCCUUCCUCCACAUUAACUGCAGCGGUCCCGCUAAUUCGCCCCACUACUCCGGAGAGUAAUGGUAGCAACUAGCGGCAGGGAUCUCGCUCGUUACCUGACUUAACAGGACAUCUCACGGCACGAGCUGACGACGGCCAUGCACCACCUCUCAGCUUGUCUGGUAAAGUCUUCAGCUUGACCUUCAUUCUGCUGUCUCCCCAGGUAAGAUUUCUGGCGUUGACUCCAAUUGAACCGCAGGCUUCACCCCUUGUGGUGCUCCCCCGCCAAUUCCUUUAAGUUUCAUACUUGCGUACGUACUUCCCAGGCGGCAAACUUAACGGCUUCCCUGCGACACUGCAUUGGCCACAAGCCAAUGCAUCACCGAGUUUGCAUAGUUUACAGCUGGGACUACCCGGGUAUCUAAUCCGGUUUGCUCCCCCAGCUUUCAUCCCUCACCGUCGAACGUGUUCUGGUAGACCGCCUUCGCCACAGGUGGUCUUCCAUAGAUCAAAGGAUUUUACCCCUUCCUAUGGAGUACCGUCUACCUCUCCCACUCCCUAGCUAUGCAGUAUUCCCGACAGCCCAUAUGUUGAGCAUAUGGAUUUAACCGAAAACUAACAAAGC